ACUACGGGUGGCAGCAGUGGGGAAUAUUGCACAAUGGGGGAAACCCUGAUGCAGCGACACCGCGUGAGUGAGGAAGUAUUUCGGUAUGUAAAGCUCUAUCAGCAGGGAAGAAAAUGACGGUACCUGACUAAGAAGCCCCGGCUAACUACGUGCCAGCAGCCGCGGUAAUACGUAGGGGGCAAGCGUUAUCCGGAUUUACUGGGUGUAAAGGGAGCGUAGACGGCUAAUCAAGUCAGAAGUGAAAACCCAGGGCUCAACUUUGGGACUGCUUUUGAAACUGAGUAGCUAGAGUGCUGGAGAGGUAAGCGGAAGUCCUAGUGUAGCGGUGAAAUGCGUAGAUAUUAGGAGGAACACCAGUGGCGAAGGCGGCUUACUGGACUGUAACUGACGUUGAGGCUCGAAAGCGUGGGGAGCAAACAGGAUUAGAUACCCUUGUAGUC
rnacentral:rRNA from 1 species